rnacentral:rRNA from 1 species
UACGGGGGGGGCAAGCGUUGUUCGGAAUUACUGGGCGUAAAGAGCUCGUAGGCGGCUUGUCACGUCGAUUGUGAAAGCCCGAGGCUUAACCUCGGGUCUGCAGUCGAUACGGGCUAGCUAGAGUGUGGUAGGGGAGAUCGGAAUUCCUGGUGUAGCGGUGAAAUGCGCAGAUAUCAGGAGGAACACCGGUGGCGAAGGCGGAUCUCUGGGCCAUUACUGACGCUGAGGAGCGAAAGCGUGGGGAGCGAACAGG